rnacentral:rRNA from 1 species
AUUGAACGCUGGCGGCAGGCCUAACACAUGCAAGUCGAACGAGUGGCGGACGGGUGAGUAAUGUCUGGGAAACUGCCUGAUGGAGGGGGAUAACUACUGGAAACGGUAGCUAAUACCGCAUACCAUCGGAUGUGCCCAGAUGGGAUUAGCUAGUAGGUGGGGUAAAGGCUCACCUAGGCGAAGAUCCCUAGCUGGUCUGAGAGGAUGACCAGCAACACUGGAACUGGACAACGGCCAAGACUCCAACGGGAGGCAGCAUGGGGGAAUAUUGCACAAUGGGCGCAGGCCUGAUGCAGCCAUGCCGCGUGGAUGUGAAAGGCCUUGGGUUUGUAAAGUACUUUCAGCGGGGAGGCGUUACCCGCAGAGGAAGCACCGGCUAACUCCGUGCCAGCAGCCGCGGUAAUAC